rnacentral:tRNA from 1 species
AUCUUUUUAGUUUAAUUAGAAUUUUUAUUUUGUAAUUAAAAAGUAAAGAAAGAUU